UUAUCAGCUGCUGCCCUGGAUACGAUUGCCCUGUGUGAUGUCAUAGGAAGAUUACAGUGAUUCUAGAGGUUCAUUUCCUGCAUUUUGAUCUGCGUAUUGCGAGGUCUCUUACCUCUGCGAAGUGCUUCUCAGGAGAUGUCAGGCACCAGACAGCAAUCUUGAGCAUCCGUGCGAACUGGCUGCUACUGCAGUUGUUGAUAUCCUGUAUCAGUAACAACGACGACAAUACGCUUCAGUUCGCCGUCGUUCUCUGUCUCCCAUUUCCGUGAAUCGAAUACGGAAUACCAAACAAAUCGCUGGAAAUUCAAGUUAAAGAGGACCAUUUAACCUCUUCGAUGUAGCUGCCAUGGUCUUGUUUGUAACACUGGAACGUGGCCCUGAGCUGCGCCUUGCUCCUGGUGCUGACGAUCCGGACGACCUCGUCGGCGUGCGGCUGCUUCUUCUUCCUGAUGGCCUCCGCUAGCUGCGCCGCCUCGAGCCUCGCGAUGCCCACGUCAACGGCCUCCUCCGCGCAGCGGUACGACCUCACGAGGCUCACCAGCAGCUGUAAUCAAACCUCAUGAGGACUACAGCCAAAUUAACGGCAUGGGACAGAAGAAGCCAUUAAUUGCCGGAAACGAACGAUCGAUCGUACGUUACCUUGCACGGCAUUCCAGAGGCUCUCCGCGUCGGCGGCCGGGGACGGCAGGGGUGUGGGCACGGUGAUGGUCGACAUCUUCUCGCUGCUGAUCGGCUCCAGAUUCAAGUAAAUGGAAGGAAGGAGGAGGGAGGGACAGAGCUGAGAGCACCUGUAGGCUCAUGCGUGUGACUUGUGACUUGUGAGCACAACCUCAGGCUUGAGUUAUAUCCUAAAAAAUUAUAAUAAAUCCUAAUUCAUACCCUC